rnacentral:rRNA from 2 species
GUCGAACGAACUCUGGUAUUGAUUGGUGCUUGCAUCAUGAUUUACAUUUGAGUGAGUGGCGAACUGGUGAGUAACACGUGGGAAACCUGCCCAGAAGCGGGGGAUAACACCUGGAAACAGAUGCUAAUACCGCAUAACAACUUGGACCGCAUGGUCCGAGCUUGAAAGAUGGCUUCGGCUAUCACUUUUGGAUGGUCCCGCGGCGUAUUAGCUAGAUGGUGGGGUAACGGCUCACCAUGGCAAUGAUACGUAGCCGACCUGAGAGGGUAAUCGGCCACAUUGGGACUGAGACACGGCCCAAACUCCUACGGGAGGCAGCAGUAGGGAAUCUUCCACAAUGGACGAAAGUCUGAUGGAGCAACGCCGCGUGAGUGAAGAAGGGUUUCGGCUCGUAAAACUCUGUUGUUAAAGAAGAACAUAUCUGAGAGUAACUGUUCAGGUAUUGACGGUAUUUAACCAGAAAGCCACGGCUAACUACGUGCCAGCAGCCGCGGUAAUACGUAGGUGGCAAGCGUUGUCCGGAUUUAUUGGGCGUAAAGCGAGCGCAGGCGGUUUUUUAAGUCUGAUGUGAAAGCCUUCGGCUCAACCGAAGAAGUGCAUCGGAAACUGGGAAACUUGAGUGCAGAAGAGGACAGUGGAACUCCAUGUGUAGCGGUGAAAUGCGUAGAUAUAUGGAAGAACACCAGUGGCGAAGGCGGCUGUCUGGUCUGUAACUGACGCUGAGGCUCGAAAGUAUGGGUAGCAAACAGGAUUAGAUACCCUGGUAGUCCAUACCGUAAACGAUGAAUGCUAAGUGUUGGAGGGUUUCCGCCCUUCAGUGCUGCAGCUAACGCAUUAAGCAUUCCGCCUGGGGAGUACGGCCGCAAGGCUGAAACUCAAAGGAAUUGACGGGGGCCCGCACAAGCGGUGGAGCAUGUGGUUUAAUUCGAAGCUACGCGAAGAACCUUACCAGGUCUUGACAUACUAUGCAAAUCUAAGAGAUUAGACGUUCCCUUCGGGGACAUGGAUACAGGUGGUGCAUGGUUGUCGUCAGCUCGUGUCGUGAGAUGUUGGGUUAAGUCCCGCAACGAGCGCAACCCUUAUUAUCAGUUGCCAGCAUUAAGUUGGGCACUCUGGUGAGACUGCCGGUGACAAACCGGAGGAAGGUGGGGAUGACGUCAAAUCAUCAUGCCCCUUAUGACCUGGGCUACACACGUGCUACAAUGGAUGGUACAACGAGUUGCGAACUCGCGAGAGUAAGCUAAUCUCUUAAAGCCAUUCUCAGUUCGGAUUGUAGGCUGCAACUCGCCUACAUGAAGUCGGAAUCGCUAGUAAUCGCGGAUCAGCAUGCCGCGGUGAAUACGUUCCCGGGCCUUGUACACACC